UACGUAGGGUGCAAGCGUUAAUCGGAAUUACUGGGCGUAAAGCGUGCGCAGGCGGUGAUGUAAGACAGAUGUGAAAUCCCCGGGCUCAACCUGGGAACUGCCUUUGUGACUGCAUAGCUAGAGUACGGUAGAGGGGGAUGGAAUUCCGCGUGUAGCAGUGAAAUGCGUAGAUAUGCGGAGGAACACCGAUGGCGAAGGCAAUCCCCUGGACCUGUACUGACGCUCAUGCACGAAAGCGUGGGGAGCAAACAGG
rnacentral:rRNA from 1 species